AAGCUAAGUUUAUAGAGGCCUAAUUCACAAAUAGUAAGUUCAGGCUCUUUAGGUGUACAAUUUGAGGAAUCCUGACAAAUGGGCACAUCUAUGUAACCCUUACAUAAUCAAGAUUGAGAACAGAUCCCCCCCCUUCCUGUCCCUUUGUGUAGUCAGUUCCCUCUCCCACUAUCAGUAUCCUCCCCCACUACCAACCCCUGCCACCACCCAUCUCCUCUGUCCCUACAUUUGGCCUUUUCCAGGAAGUCAUAUAAAUAGGAUUACGCAGAACCCAGCCUUUUGAGUCUGUUCUUGAAACUCAGCAAACUGCCUCAGAGACCCAUCCACGUUGCUACAUGUGUAAGUAGUUUGUUCCUUUAAAAAAAUAAAAAAUAAAGAUACAAACACAUACCAUAAAAUUCACCCCUUUGAAGGGUAUAAUUCCGUGGUUUUUAGUGUAUUCAGACCGGAGCAACCGUCGUCUAUAAUUCCAAAAUAUUUUUAUCACCCCCCUAAAAGAAGCCUGGUCCCAUGAGCAGUCACCUCCACCCCCUCCCCCAGCCCCUGACAACCAGGAACCAAUUCUCAGGGUCUGUGGCUGUGCCUUUUCUGGACAUUUCCCAUCAAUGAAGUUUCACACUACAUGGUCUUCUGUGUCUGCUUCUCUCACCGGGCAUCAAUAUUUCAAAGUUAGUUUGUUCCUCUCUUUUCUUUUUUUGCCUUUUUAGGGCAGCACCUGAGGCAUAUGGAGGUUCCCAGACUAGGGGUCCAAUCAGAGCUGCAGCUGCUGGCCUACACCACAGCCACAGCAACACCAGAUUUCAGCCGAAUCUGCAACCUACACCACAGCUCACAACAAUGACAGAUCCUUUAGCCACUGAGUGAGGCCAGGGAUUGAACCCACAUCCUCCUGGAUACUAGUCAGAUUCCUUUCCGCUGAGCCAUGACAGGAACUCCUAGUUUGUUUCUCUUGAUCACUGACUAGUAUUUCAACCUAUGGUCCCACCUGUUUGCCUGUUCACCAGGAAUGGGGAGCUGGGUUGUUUGCUGUUUCUGGUGGUUAGGAAUAAAGUUGCUACAAAUAUUCACCACGGAGGUGUGGACCUAAGUUUUCAUUUCUCCUGGAUAAUACCUAGGAGUGGGGUUACCGGGCCCCCUGGUGAGAAAACGCUUUACAUUAAUUCAUUUAUUCUUCAUAAACUAGGAAGGAAAUACUAUGAUUAGAUGCAUUUUACAUAUACAGAGAGUAGAUGUUCCCACAAAGGCGCGGGCGCACACAGACACAGAGCAAGCUGGGAUCUUGCCCCGAUCACCCACAGAGGCCCGCCAGGAUCCACGCACAUGCCCAAGACUCCCAAGGGCGCACACACGAAGCAGCCGGGUUGUCACGCCCCACACCCCCGGAACAGACGCCGGUGGGGCCUGCAGACCCAGACGUGCUACAGACACACUGCGAUUUGUUCAUCUUUCCAGCCAACUCGUCUCGUCCUGACAGUAAUUAGCUCCCAGACUGGCGGGGAGACGGUGAACAGGCUCAGAGUCAUCGCCGCGGCUCCACGCCCACAGGCCACCGGCACCCUUGUGUGUGGUGGGGGAGCGGGCGGGCUUGGUGCCCCUCCUCCUCUCCUCCAUCACAGACAGGCCCUGCAGGGUCAGCUAGGGUUUCCCACCCUCUCCUCAGAGCCAGCAGAGGCUCUGUACACAGAUCUACAGUGCUUUCCAUGCGGUAUCCCAUGAACUUGUGCAUGCCUGAACCCCCCAGGCGUGCAAGUGUGUCGCUGCACCGGGACCCGGCCGGCGUCCCUGCGGGGACCCGGGCACUCCACACACUCGGGGAGCGUNNNNNNNNNNNNNNNNNNNNNNNNNNNNNNNNNNNNNNNNNNNNNNNNNNNNNNNNNNNNNNNNNNNNNNNNNNNNNNNNNNNNNNNNNNNNNNNNNNNNNNNNNNNNNNNNNNNNNNNNNNNNNCGCUGCUCUGACGGGCCGGAAGACCUGUGGCGGCGGGCACUGGCGUCACGGAUUUCCACUGGAGCCCUUGCGCGGGGGCCGGGAUUCCCUGGCGCAGGAACGCCUGUGACGGCGGCGCCCGCCUGCGCCCGCCGCGCGGGGAGGUUGGACCUGGCUGGGAUGACAUCAGCCCCAGCGUUGCUGGAGCUGGCCUGGGCGGGAGGAGGAUCUGGAGAAAUGAAAGUGAUUCUGGCUGCGGAAUCGCGCCCCAAGCCUUGUACUUGCCCGGCUACGGGUUGAGCGCUGUGUUCCGAUCAGCCCUGAGCCAGGUGCGGCCAAUGUCCCCAUUUCACAGGUGUGGAAACUGAGGCUCGUGGGCCCUCACCUGUGAGACUUGCAUGCCUCAAGUCCUCAUCUCGGGGUUCUCAAAGAGUCACCCAGUCGAAAGAGUGAGGGGCCGGGGCUGGAAGCCCCCUUUUCCCAGCCCCUUCUGGGGUCUCGAUCCCUCACCCACCAGUGUCCCUCUCUUUUCCGUAGCGAGCGGGUUCAGAGAGGGCCUGGGCUGCCCUGGCGCCACCCAGCAAGUUGGGCGCUCAAGCCAGGUCUGUCCACCCUGUUGGUCUCUCCCCAGCUCUGGCCCCUGCGGUGGCCAGAGGCGUUGCCGGCGUCAGAGCCGGGCGCCCAGGCUGCCCGGCGGGGUGUGCCCACCGGCUGGCUGCCUUUGUGCUGAGGCCAGGACGAGUAGACUCUAAAAAUAGCCUGGGAGGAGGCGAGGGCUAUUUUUAGCCUGCGUGGCGGGGCUAAGGCCCUCUCGAUUCCUGGGUCAGCAGCCCUCAGGCCAGGGAAGUGGGGAGGGGGAGGGGACUCCACUUUACAGGGUCCUUACUUCCUGGGAGUUCCAACCCCUCCAGGUCUUGGGGUCAGCACCCUCCGCCCCCGGCCCUGUUCAGUGCGUAGCCAGCCCUGGGGAGGGCGGCUGGGGAGAAAACCUGGGGCGGCGGGGGGGGGGGGAUUGCCCGGGGCCACCUUUCCUGAAACCCCACCCGUUUCUCUAGCUGCCCAGGCCUUUUGUGGGGCAGGGAGGCUGCUUUCUAUUUUGGGAAGGUGUUGGAAUAGUUUAUCCGGCUAAAAAUAGCCGGUUUGGGGAUUCCUCCACCCAGGCUGGCCGCUCCGCCUCUCCACCUCCUCCUCCUCCUCCUGGCUGACCAAAGGCUUGCCUGCAUCACAAAGGGCAGACAAGGACAAACAGCCCCCAGGAGUAGGGGUCUCCCUUGGGGCAGACCUAGUGGGGCGAUUUCCUUGUUUCCUGAUUGUGGGGGAGGGGCCGCUUAAGGGCGUUCCCACGUUCCAGGUGAGCCAGACUUUCUGGCCUCCGUGACAUCUCACAUCAGAAUUCCGUCUCCUGGGCAGGGUGGGGCUUCCCCGACUCACCUUUCACCUCCUUUCAGGGUUGUGACUGUAGGCUCUGCUGUGAAGGGGUCUUGACUUCUACACUCUGGCUGAGGCGGGGAACAACAUUCCCAAGAGGGAAAUCUGCAUGCGUGGGUAAACCGAGGCACAGAGGAUCCAGGGCAGGAGUGGGACCCAUUUGAGGCUCAUUCCCCAACCAUUUCAUCUCUAUUUACACUUGAGAGUUUAACAGCUGGGCAAACUUGAAGUAGUGACUCUAUCUCUCUGUGCCUUCAGGAAAAUGGCAUAAUAAUCACAAUAGCGAUAUUGUAAAAACACAAGUGCACAGAUUAGAGACUUUAGAACGGAGUCCUAGCAGGUGAUGGAAUGGGCAGCCCCAGAAAGGAUGCUGCGAUGGUUGGCUGGAGCAGAGAACAUUUUGGGUUCCAGGUGGCUCCACACUUUGAGGCUUGAUGCUCCUUACUCAUAGUCCUUGAAGCUCAAAGGAGUGACCCUUUGCUAUAGAUCAGGAAAUUGAGACCCUGGGAUAAUUUCAUGGGACAAGGGCCUCAUGACUGGUGACACAUGGGAAGCCAGAGAGGUGUCCUGACUGUCUUGGCUCUGACCUGCACCAUAUUCCACAGCUGCCUUUUGCAUUCAUUCACCCGUUCCUUUCCUUCACUCACUCGAAUUCCUUUCCUUGCCUCUUCCAGGUUCUAGAGGCACCAGCCUCCUUGGUUUAUAGCCCCGCAACCAGUGGCCUUUUCUGUUGCCUCUGCCAUCACAUCACUUUCUCUGACUCUGAACCUCCUGCCUCCCUCUCCUAAGGAUCUUGAGAGGACAUGGACUCCCCAGGGGGAAUCCAGGAUCAUCCCCAGGUCAAGAUCCUUAAUCUAAUCCCAUCAGCUAAAUCUGGAAAAUAUUCAUAAAUUCCAGGCAUUAGGACAGACAUCUUGGAGGAUGGUGCUUAUUCAGCUUACCCUAGGAAGCCAAGGAGGCACAAAAGCUGACAGGUGCUUGCCCUCAAGGAGCACGGGGUCCAUGGCCCUGUGGAUCAGGUGGUCACAAGGAUAGACAUGAUUAUAAACAGGGUUGCCAGAUAAAAUGCAACACACCUGGUUAAAUUUGGGAUUUUGGAUAAAUUUUUAGUAUCUAUAUACUAUUAUAUUUAACAAUAUCUGGGACAUACAAUUAGAUUUUUUUCUCUCAGGCUAGGGGUCAGAUCUAAGCUGCACCUGCCAACCACAGCCACAGCAACGCGGGAUCCUAGCGGUGUCUGUGCCCUGACACCACAGCUCAGGGCAAUGUGGGAUCUAUAACCCACAAGCGAGGGCUCAAGCCCGCAUCCUAAUGGAUACUAGUUGGCUUCUUUUCUGCUGCACCACAAUGGGAACUCCCAGAAAUAAUUUUUUUAAGUAUAUGCUUCAUUUAAUAUUUGAGUUGUACUGAUACGAAAUAUAUACACUACUCCCGUGGGUGACUAGACCCCAAAUUACAGUUUGGCAGGAAAGGGUUUUUAUCAGAGGCAACAAGGUAAUAUGUGUGUUAGGAUCGCAUUGGCCUUGGCGUAGAGAAUAGGCAUAAGCACAGAAGUACGUUCUUCACCCAGCUUUUCAUUUAGCGCUGUUCCAGGGACUUGCAGUAUCUUCCAGCCUUUGGGUGGGCGGUCCCAUGCUGCAGGCUUGUGCUAGCACAUGCGUAUCGCGCCUUGUGCCCUCUAGCUCACUGGUCCUCUCGCCCAAUCAGAGGCCGAGCCUUAGCUGGGUCUGAGGGUGCGCGAGCUUCCGCGGCUCUGGCGCCUUCUGUGCAGCCUCCGCGGGAUGGCGGGGGGGGCGGAGCCUGGAGGUGGGCGUGGCGUAGCGCCGCUUCCCGGGCAGUGUGCCCUGAAUGCAGACUUUCCGAGGCUUUUGGACGGGUACCGGGGCUGCGGAGCAUCUGGGAGGGCCCGGCCGGCGUCUAGAGACCCCGGGGUGUGGCCAUUCCCGCGCCUAGUGCCCUGCCUGUUGUGGGCGCGAGCCUGGGGGCGGUGCCCGCCCUCAGUGGCUCCUCCCAGGGAUUU
ensembl:lncRNA